rnacentral:rRNA from 1 species
UAGAGGGGGGUAGAAUUCCAGGUGUAGCGGUGAAAUGCGUAGAGAUCUGGAGGAAUACCGGUGGCGAAGGCGGCCCCCUGGACGAAGACUGACGCUCAGGUGCGAAAGCGUGGGGAGCAAACAGGAUUAGAUACCCUGGUAGUCCACGCCGUAAACGAUGUCGACUUGGAGGUUGUGCCCUUGAGGCGUGGCUUCCGGAGCUAACGCGUUAAGUCGACCGCCUGGGGAGUACGGCCGCAAGGUUAAAACUCAAAUGAAUUGACGGGGGCCCGCACAAGCGGUGGAGCAUGUGGUUUAAUUCGAU